UCCUUGGCGGUACAGUGGUUAGGACUCUGCGUUUCCAAUGCAGGGGGUCUGGGUUCGAUCCCUAGUCUGGGAA
rnacentral:tRNA from 1 species